CCUACGGGUGGCAGCAGUGAGGAAUAUUGGUCAAUGGGCGAGAGCCUGAACCAGCCAAGUCGCGUGAGGGAAGACGGUCCUAUGGAUUGUAAACCUCUUUUGUCGGGGAGCAAAAGACGCCACGCGUGGCGUUCGGAGAGUACCCGAAGAAAAAGCAUCGGCUAACUCCGUGCCAGCAGCCGCGGUAAUCCGGAGGAUGCGAGCGUUAUCCGGAUUUAUUGGGUUUAAAGGGUGCGCAGGCGGAAGAUCAAGUCAGCGGUAAAAUCGGGAGGCUCAACCCCUUCGAGCCGUUGAAACUGGUUUUCUUGAGUGAGUGAGAAGUAUGCGGAAUGCGUGGUGUAGCGGUGAAAUGCAUAGAUAUCACGCAGAACUCCGAUUGCGAAGGCAGCAUACCGGCGCUCAACUGACGCUCAUGCACGAAAGCGUGGGUAUCGAACAGGAUUAGAUACCCCAGUAGUC
rnacentral:rRNA from 1 species